rnacentral:rRNA from 1 species
CUACGGGCUGCAGCAGUGGGGGAUAUUGCACAAUGGGCGAAAGCCUGAUGCAGCAACGCCGCGUGAAGGAAGACGGAUUUCGGUCUGUAAACUUCUAUCAGCUGGGAAGAAAAUGACGGUACCAGACUAAGAAGCCCCGGCUAACUACGUGCCAGCAGCCGCGGUAAUACGUAGGGGGCAAGCGUUAUCCGGAUUUACUGGGUGUAAAGGGUACGUAGGCGGUCGCUUAAGUCAGAUGUGAAAGCCCGAAGCUCAACUUCGGGACUGCAUUUGAAACUGGGUGACUAGAGUACAGGAGAGGAAAGCGGAAUUCCUAGUGUAGCGGUGAAAUGCGUAGAUAUUAGGAAGAACACCAGUGGCGAAGGCGGCUUUCUGGACUGUAACUGACGCUGAGGUACGAAAGCGUGGGGAGCGAACAGGAUUAGAUACCCCGGUAGUC